ensembl:lncRNA
GUUGACCAUGCUUUCACUAUGCACGUUCACAGGGGAAGGACCUGCGUUCCACCGGUCAUCUGAAGUCAUUCUAAUUCUUCGGUUGGAAUGUUAUUCUAGAUAUAUGUAAACAACAUUCUAAAGAUUGAUUCAGCACAUCGUUUGACAUGUUUCUACUGACUGUUACGGAACUUUUGGACAUUUCGUCACGUUAUAGUGGACGUGCUUUGUGACUUUGGAAUUGUUUACCAAACACGCUAACCAAAGUAGCUAAUUGGACAUAAAUAUCAGACAUUUUCGAACAAAUCAAGCAUUUAUUGUGGACCUGGGAUUUCUAGAACUGCAUUCUGAUGAAGUUCAUCAAAGGUUCGCCCUGACCAAGCUGGCCUGUCACGUUGAGGACCUCAUGCUGGACCAGCUCUUAGCCAUGGCCAUCCGCCUGGAUAGUUUCCUGCGUGACCGUCAUCGCCCAUCCAGGAGGUUCGGGUCUCUCCCAGGAACCUCCAGCGAGACUGAGCCCAUGGAGGUUGGCAUGACGCACCUUCCCCUUGAGGAACAUCAAUGUCGCCGUCAACAGGGUCUCUACUCCUACUGCGGGGAGUCGACCACCCCUGAAACACCUGUCCCAGAAAGAGAACCAGCCGAGGAAGUGACAGGCCGAGGAGCACUCCUGCACCUUCCCAGACUUCUGUUUUGGCUGCUGUCACAACCAGGUCACCCGUGAUACAAG